ACGACCAUCCUCAAAUAAUCUUCUCUCAUAAAUUUUACAGUCUCUCUCUCUCCUCAGAAAACCCUCUCUCAGAAAAUGGGGAAUGAGAAAUCGAAACCGAGGUGGUGAUCCACCGUCGCCAACGAUGAAUGUGGAGUCAUCAUCAUCACGUGUGCCAAAUUCUUUGGCGUCAAUCACUGGAUUGGAGAUCACGACAGUGUUGACGUCAAGAACGUCGACGAUUCGGCGAACGACGUCGUCGAGCAGCCGUAUACGACGGAGUUCUCUCGAGCGCUUCUCUGGAACCGCACCACUGAUAGACCACUUAUUAAGAUUCAAUUCAAAAGGGGAAUCCACUGAUAAAACUAGUUUAAGGAGAUUCCCCGUGCGAAGAAGUUCUUCUCUCAUUCCAAAAAGUAAAUCUAGUUCUUGAAUUACUUACUUUGAUUCCUGUUUUUGAUUUAAUUCAUCAAUUGCUUAAUCCCACUCCAAAAAUUGCAUUUUUUUCAUCAAAUUUUGACGAAAUUAUGGCAAUGAAAAACAUUACAUUGGUUUCCAGCAGUUGGGUAUUGUUCAAUUAAGAAGGAGAGAGUAAAAUUUGGAAUUGGAUAAGUAUUCGAUUCUUAGACGUUUGAGGAUUCAUGCUAGGGAUUUGAGAAUUUUGGAUCCUCUGUUGUCAUAUCCUUUAAUUAUUCUGGGCAGAGAAAGAGCUAUUAUCGUGAAUUUGGAGAUAUAAUUUCUUGCAUAAUUUUGUCAUUUUCAAUAUUUUUGGGUAUUUUCUGGUGUUAAUUUUUGAUUUUUUUGUGGGUUUGUAUGAUUUCAGCAUAUCAAAGCAAUUAUCACUACAGAGGAGGCAAUGCUUCGUUUUCAAUCAUUAUAAAACACUCUCUAAUUAUUUAUAUAUUAAUGAUCAAGACAAGGUUGUUGAUGAUCCAAUUUGCAAAAUAAGGUCCAAAUGCUAAGAAAAUGUAAGAAUUAAAAAUUAACAAAAUAAAAUUUGACAGUUUUCAUUGAAUUUGUUUCCUGCUUUGUUUUUCAAUUAAUUAGUUUGGGUAAUUUGCGUUUCCUUUUUUUUUUUCAAUUACAGAGUAAUUAGUUUGGGUAUCUUUAAUUUGAUGUUUAUAAGAUGUGGGUAUCUUUAAUUUGAUGUUUAUAAGGUGUGGGUAUCUUUACUUUUUAAUUUUUUUUUCUCUGUAUUAGUGAUCAAAAUUGUAUGUUAUUGCUUUGAUAUAUGUUGCAGUUAUUGGCAUGGGGUUCUUGUGGAAAUAGAUGUUGAAUAAUAAAGAUAGUAGAAGGUGAAGCUAUAGCUAGAAUUUUUAUGGAUAGCUUAUGUUGCUUUAGUUUAGUUUCUCAGGUAAGGGAUUAAUCUAUUUGUGGUAUUUGCUCUUAAUUUUUGAGUUUUAUGAGUUCCAUUAAUGUUUAUAUAAGCUGUUAAAUAUUUUGGGCAUCUUUAAUUAAUGAUGGUUGAUUAUAUAUACUUCGUAUGUUGUAAUUGAUCAACAAUUGAUGAAACACAGUGCAUGGAUCAGACUGUAUUUUAUGCUGUUAACAACAAGUUAAGGUUUUUUCCUUUUUCUGGUGGUGGGGGUGGUGGUAGUGGUGGGGAGGGGGGGGGGGGGGGGGGAGGGGGAGUACAAGAAAAUACAAAUUUCUUGGUGAGGAAGAGUUAUGUACAAAUUUAUUGAUUUUGAUGCCAAUUUCGUUGCUUAAUUUUGUUAAUUUUGCUUUAUUCAAAGUUUUAUAAUGCUUCAUUUGCUUGCAAUUUAAUUAAUUGAUGUUCAUUACUUUAAUCGUAUUUCUACAAUGCAUCUGGAUGCUUAGAGUUACCAUUGACUGGAAGCUUGCGAAUGGUAGAGGUCAUGGGUAUUAGUGAAUGUGUUGAUUGUCAGCAGAACAAUAUCAAGCACAUCCAUGCUUAUGAAGAGUUACCAUUGAUUGCAAGCUUGCGAAUGGUGAGGUGAAAACAAGAGGGGAAGGGAAGCUUGAUAAAGAUGAGAAGUUUAGAAUAGAUUUUCCAUAUGGACCUACCAAUGGAGAAUCAUUUUUCUGUUCGUUUGUGUAUUUCCUAAUCAAAUGGCUGUGAAAAAAGCUGUAGAAUUUUUUUCAAAGAGUUUGAUUGAUGAAGUUCAUAAAUGGGGUUAAUGAAACAAAAUGGAGUAACUCUUAGGUA